UUCAAAAUACUUGAUUAAAUUUUAAUUUUUAAUUUAAGUUCAAAUUAAAAUUUAAAAUUAUAUAUUUAAUUUUUAAAUUUUAACUUAUAUUUUAAUUUAAAAAAUUGAAAAAAUAAAUUUAAUCCGAAUAAAUAUCCAUUCCGUCCGGAUUCAACUUUCAAUCCGGCCUCCUAGGCCGGAUUGAAAAAAGGGGUGAUUCGGACAUUCCCAUUCCACUCGGGAAUCGGAAUCGGAAUGAGACUCCCGCGUACCAAACACCCACAAACGGAUUCACCUAUUCCGAUUCAGAUUCCAUGGUGAAAAAGAAGCGAACCAAACCAUAGUUAGUUAAUUCGCGAAUUAUUCGCGAAUUAUUCGCGAAUUUUUGAAAUGCCGAAUAAAACUCCCGUUUUCGUAUUUUUCCCAAAAAUUCGGAAAAAUUCGCGUUUUUUUGGGUAAAAAGAAUUAUUUGCGAAUUAAACGGAAUUCGCGAAUAAUUCGGCCCAAAAAACCGGCCCAGAACCCGUUUUGCCUCGCCCAAAACCCGCUUUGCCUCACGAGUCACGGCCGAGCCCUGUCGCCCAAUAGGCCGAAAAAAAAAAACACUUUCUGAAAUCUGAAGUGAAAUGAUCGCCCCCCUCCCACCUCGAGUCCCACACCCACCCCUCCCAAAAAAAGGGUUUGCCCUAACUUCUCACCCCUGCGGCUGCGGCGGUGCGGCCCUGCCACCGACCCCUGCGGCAGUCGCGGUCCCUUCCCCUCCCCCUCUUCCCUUCCGGCCGCUCGCCGAACGCCAUCGGAAGCCCUCCUCUUCAGAAAUCGAAGAUCGAAGAGGAUUAAAUCAUAGUUAGUUAAUUCAUAGUUAGUUAGUUAAUUCGGAUUCGCAUAUUGAUAUAGUCGAGGAUUAAAUCAUCAUUUUCUAGUUUAUUUGUAUAGAUUCGCAUAUUGAUUUUAAUUUUUAUUUUGGGCCUUAAUCUCGAGUGCUUAAUUGAAUCUGUCCAUUCUCUGUUAUGCACAAAGAAGACCCAAACAUAGAGCUAAAUAAUCUUAAUUAACUUAAGGGACCAGGAACUCUUCUAUUAUACCUAAUCAAUUUCAUGAUCUUGUACUGUCGACACUUGCAAAGGAAAAUUUUGUUGUGGUCUUUCAUGGACCAUUGACUCAGUGGGGUUUCUACUUAAUUUUUGAAACAUAACUUUUUAGUAUUAGAAAUGCAGCAAUUUAAAUAUGGACUAUCUUGAUCUCUAUUUGCUUAAUUAUUUCUUUAUUUUGAGGCAUAAUAUAGUUUACUAUUUUUUUUUACUUAGUUUAAUUUUGUAGCUCUUUAUUCUUAUAUUCUUAAAAAAUAUGAAUAUUUAUGCUAAUAGCAUAAAUCUUGAGAGAAAAAAAAAACUUAAUUUAAUAGCCGAAUUUUUGAUCCCGAAUUUUUAAUUAGUGAACGUAUAAUAUCCGUAUAAAUCACGUAUCCGAAUAAUUGGCGAAUCCGUUUUUUAGCCGUUUUUUUCAACGAAUUUAAAAAUUAGAAGACGAAUUUUAUCCGAAUUAUACCCGUACCGAAUUUUUGCCGAAUCCGAAUUAACUAACUAUGAACCAAACACGCCUUAAGUCUCUUCUAACAAUUAUUUUAUCUUAUUUUUUUAUUAUUCCCUACUCUGCCCCUCGCUGCUCACUCACUAGUCGCUACUGCUCCAUCACCGAGAAAUCUACUAUAUAUCAGUCACAUCAUAUUAUUCAUAAUCAGCUAAUUAUAUUUUUUUUUAGACAAAGUUAAGUAUAAUAAAAAUAAUUUUCUAAAAACUAUGAUAUGAUGGAUAAAUCUCAUGACUGUAUUUUGAUUGACUGAAAAUACCACGUCACUAAUAUGACCGUCAUAUUCUAUACUUUUU
rnacentral:lncRNA from 1 species